rnacentral:rRNA from 1 species
CUGGGGCGGUCUCCUCCUAAAGAGUAACGGAGGAGCACGAAGGUUGGCUAAUCCUGGUCGGACAUCAGGAGGUUAGUGUAAUGGCAUAAGCCAGCUUGACUGCGAGCGUGACGGCGCGAGCAGGUGCGAAAGCAGGUCAUAGUGAUCCGGUGGUUCUGAAUGGAAGGGCCAUCGCUCAACGGAUAAAAGGUACUCCGGGGAUAACAGGCUGAUACCGCCCAAGAGUUCAUAUCGACGGCGGUGUUUGGCACCUCGAUGUCGGCUCAUCACAUCCUGGGGCUGAAGUAGGUCCCAAGGGUAUGGCUGUUCGCCAUUUAAAGUGGUACGCGAGCUGGGUUUAGAACGUCGUGAGACAGUUCGGUCCCUAUCUGCCGUGGGCGCUGGAGAACUGAGGGGGGCUGCUCCUAGUACGAGAGGACCGGAGUGGACGCAUCACUGGUGUUCGGGUUGUCAUGCCAAUGGCACUGCCCGGUAGCUAAAUGCGGAAGAGAUAAGUGCUGAAAGCAUCUAAGCACGAAACUUGCCCCGAGAUGAGUUCUCCCUGAGACUUUAAGUCUCCUGAAGGAACGUUGAAGACGACGACGUUGAUAGGCCGGGUGUGUAAGCGCAGCGAUGCGUUGAGCUAACCGGUACUAAUGAACCGUGAGGCUUAACCUU